CUGACUUGAUUUCCUAAUAAAAAACAAAAAAAAAAAAUUUAAAUUCACAUCAUCCAUGACCGUUCAAAAAAAUUGAGUUAGGGUUUUCUCUAGUGAGUAUCUUGCAAUUUAAAGCACCAAGAAGGACUUUCAACGCCUUGAGAAGAAAUAUAAAAUGGAUGCAUAAAUUACGAUUUAUAUAAUUGGGGGAAAAAAGUUUUUGAUCAAUGUGUUUUGUAAAAUUCGUUUUAUUGUUUAAACCUAAAAAUAUCAAGAAUGAAACUAAUUUGAAAUUCAAUUAGAUUUCUUAAGGAAAUAAGUGUCAUUUAAUUAAACUUGACAUAAUUUUUUUCCCCACCGCAUAAAGCUUGAUUUUAGAUCCUUAAGUAUUACCUUCUCACAUUGCCCUAAUUCAUUGACAUUUUCGAAUUGAUAAUACCAGCUUUCUAAUUAAGUACAUACCCUAACCUAAUUUCAAAUAAGUUGUGUAUUUUAGGUUUUGAAGAUUUUUUUGCCAUCUUUGUUCAUGUUAUAUGUUAAAAUCCAUUAAAUGUCCACUUGUAAGUGUCUCACAUUGAAAAAAGAGGAGAGAAUAAAUCACUUUGUAAGAUUAGGAGUUACUCUUCCUAUCACCAAUUGGUUUUAGGAUGAAACCUUAUAGGAUGCAGAAUAAGGAAGCUUCAUGGAGAUAUGAGAGUAAUUGGGGGAGAAUUGAGAAAGAGAGGAUGGGCCCAUAAAUGGUUAUUAAAAAAACUAUAGAUUAUUUAUUCGCAAAAAAAUUCAUUUCAAGAUGGUUAAAGUCAAUACAUCUUCAAAAUAAAAAAUGAAAUUAUUCAACAUUGUUUCUAUUAUUGUAUGAAGUUUUAAAUAUUGAUCAAACACUUACGUAUUAACUAUUAACGUAUGUUUGAAUGGAACUAUACCCAAAAAAAAAAAAAAAAAAAAAAAAAAAAAAACGUUGUUAACAAUAACAUCUAAAUUGUUUAGUUGGUAGAACUUAUCUGUAGUAGUGGUAGAGGUGAUUCUCUAUUAGUAUAUGAAAAGCAUGUAAUAGGAUAUGAAAAUGUGUCGGAGUCACUUUUAUAAAAAAAAUAUUCAAUGAACUAAUCUAACAAUAUACAAUAGACAAUAAUGACUGCGUGUAAUAUAUAUAGUAUAUCCCCCCGUUGGCGUUACAAGUUGAACAUACACUAGCACACGAAAAAAAGCAAGUUAAAUAUAUACGGUUAACUUGUUGACUUCAUACUUGAAACAGAUAAACAUCUUGACGAGGCUAUGGAUGAAAACGAGAUCAGCUCAUCCAUAUCCAUUAGUGAGCAAAUCCCAGCGAUUAAAGCUAGAUUUUCAAAUAAUAGCAUCCUGAUUGAUAUCUACUGCCAUACACAAAAGGGUCUUUUGGCCAAAAUUAUCACUGAAAUUGAGAAGCGUCACCUCUUCGUCAGCGACAUCAAUGCUUCAUCAAUCAAUGGUGGAACUUUACAAAUAAUCAUCGUGUCGCAGAUGGAGCCGAAUUUCAAUAUGAGCCAACAAGAUUUUCUCAAUGAUCUUCAUUCGAUCUUUCAAGCACAUAUACUCCGUUCGUAGCUCAACCAAUAUCAAUCAUGAGAUGCCACCGUGUUAUUACGUUAAUUAGUAAUAUGUACUUAAAUUGUAAUUGUGUUAAUUAUCCAGCGUGGGACGAAUUGGAGUCGCAUACUCAAGUAUCUAUAUGUCCUUGUUGCUCCAUGCAUCUAGUUUGAGCUUUUGCAGUUGUGUUAUGAAUUUUUUAUUAGUUGAUUGUGGUGUUUCAUACAUUUUUUGUAACACCCCCACAAUUUUCUAUUUUUCAAAUACCUUUCUAAUAUAAAACUUAGAGAAUUAUCAAAGUAUUA